rnacentral:rRNA from 1 species
GGCAACGGCCAUACCACGCUGAGUAUACCGGUUCUCGUCCGAUCACCGAAGUCAAGCAGCGGCGGCGUGGUUAGUACUUGGAUGGGUGACCGCUUGGGAACACCACGUGCUGUUGUCU